GAUGAAGAACUCAGUGAAAUGCGAUAAGUAAUGUGAAUUGCAGAAUUCAGUGAAUCAUCGAAUCUUUGAACGCACAUUGCGCCCGCCAGUAUUCUGGCGGGCAUGCCUGUUCGAGCGUCAUUUCAACCCUCAAGCACCUUCGGGAGCUUGGUGUUGGGGAUCGGCAGGGCGUCCUCCGGGUCGCGCCGUCCCCCAAAUCUAGUGGCGGUCUCGCUGUAGCUUCCUCUGCGUAGUAAUACACCUCGCUCUGGAGUCUCGGUGCGGCCACGCCGUAAAACCCCCAACUUUUUUCUGGUUGACCUCGAAUCAGGUAGGACUACCCGCUGAACUUAAGCAUAUCAAUAAGCGGAGGA
rnacentral:misc_RNA from 1 species